rnacentral:tRNA from 1 species
CUGGGUGGGGCAGAUGGUUAAUGCACUCGGCUGCUAACUGAGAGGUUGGAGGUUUGAGUCCACCCAGA